CUGACAGGUAACACUGUCUCCAAGGCUGCGUGCGUCCCCCAAGACCAGAACCAAUUGCUUGCAAGGAACAACGAGCCAUCGAGCCACGUUCAAACAGAUCCAGAAAGCUGAACCCUAGAGUAAAAAAUCUGUGUGAUGGUUGACCGUGACAUGAAAUAAAUAAAGGCAAUCAAAUCAGUCUUCCCACAGUCUGCAGUGUUACUUUGCUGGUUCCAUGUACUACAAGCUGUACACCAGUGGCUAAUAAGUGGAGAUGGGGGGAAUCUUAGGGAUCCCUCAGCAAGGACCGGUGUGGUAAGACGAAUGGUGUCUGAAGCAUUGCAGUACAGUAAGUUAUGCAUCUGAUAUUGUGUAACAUAAUAUUGUUUAAACUUAAUGGUGCACUCCUUAGUCGUAAUGUAAACAUAA